GCCAGACCCUCCAGUGCUCCUGCUGACCUUCCCUGUCUGCAGCCCAGCUUUGGACUGUGGAGAUGCCCUCAGCCUCUACUCAGUGGCUCCAGCCUCAUAUUUGCGUGCUAUACCUUUAACCUCAAGUUCUCUUGCUGCUAACUUAAGCUGUGACUGUCCAGGACCUGCACACACACAUACAUGCACGCAUGCACACACACACACACACACACACACAGAAGGUGAACACACAGGAUGAGGCCCUGAAAACUCAUUUCACCCGUGUACCUCACCCAAAAAUUCCCCUUUGUACUCCUAUCUUUAUCUCUAACUGACAGCAUGAAGGUAGCCCGAAGUCCCCUCACCCUGUCUGUCCUCCUGAUUCUCUAGCCCAGUUCCCUCUAGCUCCAGCACAGACUCUUAUCUCCAGCCCUGACUGCUGAAACCCUCCAGCCCCAGCUCCAGCCCCUCAGGAGGGGACUGCGUGGGAGGAAUGACUCCAGCAAGCCGGCAGCUGACCCGUCUCUGGCCUGCAUGCCUCCCCCUGUGGUCCACUGCCGGUGGUCUUCAGCUCUCUCCUCGUCCCACCCCCAUGGUCUGCUGACAGCCCAGCCCAGUGCAUCCCUGCCAUCUCUGCUCUACCGCUGGUCCUCCCAACAACCAACUUACAGCUUCCAAUUGUGGACAAGAUAAGGACCAUUGCCCAGGCUGUCUAUGGAGCCAAAGAUAUCGAACUCUGUCCUGAGGCACAAGUCAAAAUAGAUCGUUACACUCAGCAGGGUUUUGGAAAUUUGCCCAUCUGCAUGGCAAAGACCGAUCUUUCUCUGUCUCACCAACCUGACAAAAAAGGUGUGCCAAGUGACUUCAUCUUACCUAUCAGUGAUGUCCGGGCCAGCAUAGGUGCUGGGUUCAUUUACCCUUUGGUCGGAACGGUGCACCACUGAUAUCAUGGCUCGGCUGGACUCUGGAAAGCAGGAAAUUGCUGGAGCAUGUUUGGGCAUCAGUGAUGUCACCCGCUACGAAUGCCGGGUGGGGUUACUGGACUGAGGGCCAUGAAAAAAGAAAGCUGCGGCCCUGCCCCAUGGACUCACUGCCAUUCUGUUCUUUCUCACAUUUCAGUUCAGCUCACUUUGUUUUCCGUCCCCCUCCCUCUACUGUAAAAGUAUGUACUCAGUGUUUCAUUUCCUGCCGGAUCUGAUUCAGGUCAGUGAUGAAGUUCUUUGCAAGCUCAGUGGGGAGGCGUUUCCUCCCUUUCAUACCGGCCCUGCUUAGGGAUGCAUGGUUGGUUAUAUACUUGCUUCACUCGGUUAGGCAUGGAGGAGAAUUCAUUCAGACCUCAUAGGUUUAAAUCAAAUGCAUGACCCUUCACAUUUUCCAGAGAUUUAGACAGUUACAGUGAGACAAUUAAACAUUCACCCCACAAGCUGCACUUGGAGAUGUGUAAGCAGUAAUGUAGUCAUGCGCUCCCCAUGAUAUGAGAGUGUGCAGAAUGCCACUCCCCACAGCAGGUCCACGAGGACCUCCUCAGGGAGCAUCUUGCCUACAAAAUCACCCAUCCCUUUUCCCCCACUUUCUUCACUUUCCCUACGUUUCCACUCCCACACCCACAAAUAAACAAAGAAACUUUGAGCUUAUUUUACAAAAGUCUUUGAAAUGGCCUUCCUCUCUCCGAUGCUCCUGGGCCCUGGUUUGGCCCCAUCUGUGCAGUCUCUCUGAUGAGUGUGAAAUAAGCCAGGUUUGGCUCAUGCUCUCCCUGUGAGCUUGCUCUCCCCGUGAGCCUGCCCUCUCCAUCUGGCCUCACUUUGUUUGUGUCCCUGGGUCCUUUGUCUCUGAUCCUGGGAUCCUGGUGGUUUCCUCCUCCCCGCCCAGCUUGGGUCCUUUUCCCCAGGGUUCUUCCCUAUCUCUACAUCAGAAUUUCCUGCUUUCUCCCAAAUAUGCAUUUCCCUGGCCCAGGCAUCCAUUGCUUCCUCUCAUCGUGAGGUCCCUGCAGCAGACUGCCAAUGGUGUUGUGGCCAUGCCUUCCUCCACAACCCAGGGAAAGCUACAUGUGUGUCUGUCCCAUAGGGAAGGAGUCAUCCCUGUCUCUUCAGUGUGGCAUGUUCAGGAGGAAGGAAAGUAACCAGCGUCAUUCUCAAUUUCUGGAAACUGUUUAUCAUAUUGACAAGAGGAAGAAAGCUUUGCGACUCAUGAGAAUGAUGUUUUCCUCUCUGGUACAUAAGGUUAUGUAGGUCCAAUCCAUUGUGUAGAAGAUCUUUUCUCCCUUAAUGGGAUGUACACUUAUUUUUAGCACAAGUAUAAAACUACUUUAAAUGAAAUCAGCCUCAGCCAGGGAAAUAUGCUGAGUAAUAAUGUUGCCAGGUACUAUACCACUGAGUUGAGUUUGCAAUUCACUGCUAUUAAUCCCUGCAUGUUAGUUCUGAAUUUUUACUCUUUGCAUACGUAGAAAAAUGGUGUUUCUCUUCAGAGUCAAGGAGGGAAAAAAGAAAAGUUAAAAGACGCUUAUAACACUUUUGUGUCCACCCCUAAAAUCAGCAUAUUGAUCUACUAUUUUUCUAGGUAUUGAUGGAAUAUUGACUCAUAUACUUUCAUACAACUGCUAAUAUAUAUAUAUAUAUAUAGACUCAUUUUUCUUCUUCCACUUUCAUCUACAGCCUACUUGUUUUUCUCCCCCCAUUUUUCGUUUGGAUUCAUAGCAUAAAUUGACAACAAAGAUACAUCUCAAUUUAGAGCUUCCAAAAGGCACCCAUAAAAGUAUCUGGUGCUCAUGGAA